CGCGGCCUAUCAGCUUGUUGGUGGGGUGAUGGCCUACCAAGGCGUCGACGGGUAGCUGGUCUGAGAGGAUGAUCAGCCACACUGGGACUGAGACACGGCCCAGACUCCUACGGGAGGCAGCAGUGGGGAAUCUUGCGCAAUGGGCGAAAGCCUGACGCAGCAACGCCGCGUGCGGGAUGAAGGCCUUCGGGUUGUAAACCGCUUUCAGAAGGAACGAAACUGACGGUACUUUCAGAAGAAGGUGCGGCCAACUACGUGCCAGCAGCCGCGGUGACACGUAGGCACCAAGCGUUGUCCGGAUUUAUUGGGCGUAAAGAGCUCGUAGGCGGUUCGGUGAGUCGGGUGUGAAAUCUCAGGGCUCAACCCUGAGCUUGCAGGCGAUACUGGCGGACUUGAGGCAGGUGGGGGAGAGUGGAAUUCCCGGUGUAGCGGUGAAAUGCGCAGAUAUCGGGAGGAACACCGGUAGCGAAGGCGGCUCUCUGGGCCUGACCUGACGCUGAGGAGCGAAAGCGUGGGUAGCAAACAGGAUUAGAUACCCUGGUAGUCCACGCCGUAAACGAUGGGUGCUAGGUGUGGGGAGUAGUUCACUCUCUCCGUGCCGAAGCUAACGCAUUAAGCACCCCGCCUGGGGAGUACGG
rnacentral:rRNA from 1 species